CCGGGCCUGCGGGAGCGGAGCGGCGUGAGGGGAGCGGGGCCGGGACACGGGAACGGGGACACGGAACACGGAACACCGACCAUCCAGGGGAUGGGGUCCGCGGUGGGACAGCUGAGGGCUCGGAGUGUGUGGGGACGGGGGCAGGGAGGGUGAGGGGACGCGGAAGCGGCUCUGGGGGUUGGCUGAGGGGCGUGAAGCCGGCUGAGGUGUAAAGGCAUGUGGGGUUUACUGGGAGGAUAGCUGGGAGCUCGGGGUGUGAGGCUGGGGUAGGGCGGUACGGGCAGAGGAACUGGAGGCUAAACAGCUGCAGGGACCUGGUGGGGAGGGGACAGGGAAGGAGAUGGGAAGAGAGUGUAAACGUGCGGCGUGAGGGAUCCAAACAGGCCUCUGGAGCCUUGGAGAGACGCUGACUGCAGCAGCGUUCAUAGCAGCAUUUAUAGCUUCUGCUCGGCUGUGGAAGAGAUGUCACCUCCGUCCCUGUGCUCCCCUGCUCCCUAGGGAGGAGGAAAACUCCCAAGCCCUUGGUUGGGAGUGAGCUUCUUAUGGAAGGCAAAUAGAUUUGCCCAGAAGCAAUGAUGAGCGAAGUAUAGUCUGAACUGGUAUUGCCGAGACUCCGUGUCUCUGCUCUGACCAGGGCAUGAUCACCUAAUCUUCUCUCUGAGCUAC